AUUGUAAACAAAAAAUUUGAAAAAAUCUUUGAACUUCUUCAGAUUUUUUUCGGAUCAAACGGUUCCCAUUUAUAAGGAGGAAAGGUUGGCCAAGAUGGGUCCACUAUUGAUAUCCUUCAUCAAAAUUCCUUCAAGUUUUAUCAGUGCUGUUUUCUGGAAUCGAACCUCCUGGACAGCGAAAUAUGUAUCUCGAAAGUGUUCUGGUUUGAAACAAGCCUUUGAUAAUGCUAGAGUCGAAGUUUAAAGUAGCGAGCAUAAGAAACGUGUUGAAGACAUGCAGCAGAACAACAGGCUCGACCUCAACCAAUCUCAACCAUGUCUAAACCAUAUCAA